UUUAUAUGUAAACCGAAAGGGAAUACAACUAUGUAAGAAAGUGAAUUUGGAUUAGUUGUGCAUUGUCAAUAUUUGAGGCGAAUAUUAUGCGGUGCACUUCGAUUCCGUUUUCAUGGAACGUUUAAGAAAAGGCGUUGUGAUUGUUUGGAAAUAUUAAUAAAGGGCAUAAAUUCUUCUAAUCCUGAUUUUAUCAGGGUGUAUAAAGUUCUUUUAUGGAAGAAUGUGCCCUCUAUUGUGUGGAAAAAUGUAUCGCCGUUUUUUUUUUUUACGUUCAACUUUACAACAAUUUUAAAAUUAUCAAAUCAAUUUUUACAUCAUGUACAUUUGUGUUUUUUAAUAUACAUAUAUGCUUUGUGUUUACUUACCAUUUUUUUUUGAGAGACUCAUGUGCCGGUAAAGCGUGAGCAGUGCAGUGUGUUUAUGUGCUUUUACAUAUAUCUUCAUCGCGCUGUAAGCGUCUUUUCCCACAGGUUUUAUCUUAGAAGAA